rnacentral:rRNA from 1 species
UACGUAGGGCGCAAGCGUUGUCCGGAAUUAUUGGGCGUAAAGAGCUCGUAGGUGGCGUGUCGCGUCUGCCGUGAAAGCCCAUGGCUUAACUGUGGGUCUGCGGUGGAUACGGGCAGGCUGGAGGCUGGUAGGGGCAAGCGGAAUUCCUGGUGCAGCGGUGAAAUGCGCAGAUAUCAGGAGGAACACCGGUGGCGAAGGCGGGUCUCUGGGACGGUACUGACGCUAGACGCG